rnacentral:rRNA from 1 species
AGUAACACGUAUGCAACCUGCCCUCAAGCUUGGGACAACUACCUGUGAAACGGUAGCUAAUACCGAAUACUUGCUUUCUUCGCCUGAAGGGAGCUGGAAAGACGGAGCAAUCUGUCACUUGAGGAUGGGCCUGCGGCGCAUUAGCUAGUUGGUGAGGUAACGGCUCACCAAGGCGACGAUGCGUAGCCGACCUGAGAGGGUGAUCGGCCACACUGGGACUGAAACACGGCCCAGACUCCUACGGGAGGCAGCAGUAGGGAAUCUUCCGCAAUGGGCUAAAGCCUGACGGAGCAAUGCCGCGUGAGUGAUGAAGGUUUUCGGAUCGUAAAGCUCUGUUGCCAGGGAAGAACGUCCUUGAGAGUCACUGCUCAAGGAGUGACGGUACCUGAGAAGAAAGCCCCGGCUAACUACGUGCCAGCAGCCGCGGUAAUACGUAGGGGGCAAGCGUUGUCCGGAAUUAUUGGGCGUAAAGCGCGCGCAGGCGGUCAUUUAAGUCUGGUGUUUAAUCCCGGGGCUCAACCCCGGAUCGCACUGGAAACUGGAUGACUUGAGUGCAAAAGAGGAGAGUGGAAUUCCACGUGUAGCGUUGGAAAUGCGUAGAGAUGUGAAAGGAACCCCAGUGGCGAAAAGCAACUCUCUGGGGUGUAACUGACGCCUGAGGCCCGAAAGCUUGAGGAGCAAACAGGAUNUAAAUACCCUGGUAGUCCCACGCCGUAAACCAAUGAUGGCUAGGUGGUUAGGGGUUUUCGAAACCCCUUGGUUGCCGAAAGUUACCACAUUUAAGCAUUCCCGCCUGGGGGAGUACGGGUCGGCAAGACCGGAAACUCAAAGGGAAUUGAACGGGGACCCCGAAAAACCAAGGGGAAGUUGGGGUUUUAAAUUCGAAGCAACGGCAAAAAACCUUAACAGGUUUUUGCACUCCUUUCUGCCCGUCCAAAGAAAUGGGGUUUUCCUUUCGGAAACAAAGAAAAACGGGGGGGGCCAGGGUUGUUCGUCCACCUCGGGUCGUGGAGAGUUUUGGGUUAAGUUCCCCCAACCAGGCCACACCCUUUGAACUUUAUUUCCCCCACACUUUCGGGAGGGGCCCUUCUUAAGGGGAACGUGCCGGGAGCAAACACGGAGAAAGAAGGUGGGG